UACGUAGGGUGCAAGCGUUGUCCGGAAUUAUUGGGCGUAAAGAGCUCGUAGGCGGUUUGUCGCGUCGAAUGUGAAAACCCGGGGCUCAACCCCGGGCCUGCAUUCGAUACGGGCAGACUAGAGUUCGGUAGGGGAGUCUGGAAUUCCUGGUGUAGCGGUGAAAUGCGCAGAUAUCAGGAGGAACACCGGUGGCGAAGGCGGCUCUCUGGAACGCAACUGACGCUGAGACGCGAAAGCGUGGGGAGCAAACAGG
rnacentral:rRNA from 1 species